GACGAACGCUGGCGGCAUGCUUAACACAUGCAAGUCGAACGGAAAGGCCUUUUCGGAGGUACUCGAGUGGCGAACGGGUGAGUAACACGUGGGUGAUCUGCCCUGCACUCUGGGAUAAGCCUGGGAAACUGGGUCUAAUACCGGAUAGGACCGCACUUUAGUGUGUGUGGUGGAAAGUUUUUUCGGUGUAGGAUGAGCCCGCGGCCUAUCAGCUUGUUGGUGGGGUAAUGGCCUACCAAGGCGGCGACGGGUAGCCGGACUGAGAGGUUGGGCGGCCACAUUGGGACUGAGAUACGGCCCAGACUCCUACGGGAGGCAGCAGUGGGGAAUAUUGCACAAGGGGCGCAAGCCUGAUGCAGCGACGCCGCGUGGGGGAUGACGGCCUUCGGGUUGUAAACUCCUUUCGCCAGGGACGAAGCGUUUUGUGACGGUACCUGGAGAAGAAGCACCGGCUAACUACGUG
rnacentral:rRNA from 1 species